rnacentral:tmRNA from 1 species
AGUGGCGUGUCCGUCCGCAGGUGCCAGGCGAAUGUAAAGACUGACUAAGCAUGUAGUACCGAGGAUGUAGGAAUUUCGGACGCGGGUUCAACUCCCGCCAGCUCCACCA